rnacentral:rRNA from 1 species
CAGUCGCCGCGGGAAUACGUAGGGUGCAAGCGUUAAUCGGAAUUACUGGGCGUAAAGCGUGCGCAGGCGGUUCGCUAAGACAGAUGUGAAAUCCCCGGGCUUAACCUGGGAACUGCAUUUGUGACCGGCGGGCUAGAGUAUGGCAGAGGGGGGAUAGAAUUCCACGUGUAGCAGUGAAAUGCGUAGAUAUGUGGAGGAAUACCGAUGGCGAAGGCAGCCCUCUGGGAUAACACUGACGCUCAUGCACGAAAGCGUGGGGAGCAAACAGGAUUAGAUACCCCAGUAGUCCCUGUCUCUUAUA